rnacentral:rRNA from 1 species
AUGGUUGAGCUGUUGUUCGCCCCUGCCGAGGCCGGCCUCGUCCACCUCCCGGAGGUGCUCGACCACCUCGCAAUCGGGGACGCCGGCCACCGAGACCACGCCCGACACCAUGCUAUGCACGGGCAAGGGCACGGUCAAUAUCACACGCUGGGAGGCCGACGGGGCGGCGGCACACCCGUGGACAUCAUGGAGACCCCCGCAGUGGUGGCCUUCGUGCUCGACGUCCCCGGCCUCUCCAAGUCGGACAUCCAGGUGACUCUGGAGGAGGACAACGUGCUAUUGACAAAGAGCGCCAACCGGCGGAGGCGGCGCCAACGGGAAGCGGAAACGGGAGGAGGAGGCGGAUGCCGCUACAUCCGGCUGGAGCGCCGUGCGUCCCCGCGGUCGUUCGUGCGCAAGUUCCGGCUGCCGGAGGACGCGGACGCGGGCGCCGUGGUCGUGCGCUGCGAGAACGGCGUGCUCACCGUCACCGUCAAGAAGCAGCCGCCGCCCGAGAAGAAGACCAAGUCCGUCCAGGUCGCCAUCGCCUGA